CCAGACUCCUACGGGAGGCAGCAGUGGGGAAUAUUGCACAAUGGGGGGAACCCUGAUGCAGCGACGCCGCGUGGGCGAGGAAGUAUUUCGGUAUGUAAAGCCCUAUCGGCAGGGAAGAAGAAAUGACGGUACCUGAAUAAGAAGCACCGGCUAAAUACGUGCCAGCAGCCGCGGUAAUACGUAUGGUGCAAGCGUUAUCCGGAUUUACUGGGCGUAAAGGGAGCGCAGGCGGCGCGCCAAGUCUGAUGUGAAACCCCGGGGCCCAACCCCGGGACUGCUCUUGGAACUGCGUGGCUAGAGUGCAGGAGGGGCAGGCGGAAUUCCUGGUGUAGCGGUGAAAUGCGUAGAUAUCAGGAGGAACACCGGUGGCGAAGGCGGCCUGCUGGACUGCAACUGACGCUGAGGCCCGAAAGCGUGGGGAGCAAACAGGAUUAGAUACCCCGGUACA
rnacentral:rRNA from 1 species